GACGAACGCUGGCGGCGUGCUUAACACAUGCAAGUCGAACGGAAAGGCCCUGCUUUUGUGGGGUGCUCGAGUGGCGAACGGGUGAGUAACACGUGAGUAACCUGCCCUUGACUUUGGGAUAACUUCAGGAAACUGGGGCUCAUACCGGAUAUGAGCUCCUGCUGCAUGGUGGGGGUUGGAAAGUUUCGGCGGUUGGGGAUGGACUCGCGGCUUAUCAGCUUGUUGGUGGGGUAGUGGCUUACCAAGGCUUUGACGGGUAGCCGGCCUGAGAGGGUGACCGGCCACAUUGGGACUGAGAUACGGCCCAGACUCCUACGGGAGGCAGCAGUGGGGAAUAUUGCACAAUGGGCGGAAGCCUGAUGCAGCAACGCCGCGUGCGGGAUGACGGCCUUCGGGUGGUAAACCGCUUUCGACUGUGACGAAGCGUGAGUGACGGUAAUGGGUAAAGAAGCACCGGCUAACUACGUG
rnacentral:rRNA from 1 species